GGGAGCUUAGAUGUGGAAGCUCUUUGGAAACCAAGAAACACUCUGCAAAUGAAAAGGGAUCUCAACUUUUCUCUUCCUGCUCCAGCUGCACUAUGUAUCCGUGCUUGGCUCUCAGUUGUUGGAUCCUCAUGUCUCCUUUUUCACAGUGGCUCAGGUGGAAGAGUAAACUGUUCCUGUUUCUCCAUCUUGACAGGAAGCAGAAGUUCUCCUUAGCUGAUUUUUCUUCUUGCCUUAUACUGGGUUCUUUAACACCAGAACAAAAAUAAAUAAAUAAAAGAAUCUUCCAGAAAUUCAUGAAGAGACUUCAGGUCAGGAAAGCCUGAACUUUCUCAUCCAACACCUGUUCAAGUCGGAGGAUGCUGAUUAAUUCAUGAUGGAAAGGUAUCAAUUUCACAGCCCAGACCUCUACAUUCUUGAAAUGCUCUUCUCAUGGGAGACAUUAAAUAAGCUUUGAAUUAACUUAAGCCCUUAAGUAAAAGUGCCAUCAAAUGAUUUCUCAGAAAUUAUAAAGAAACAAAAGGACCAUAAACAAGAUAAGGUGGCAUGAGGAAACAUUACAAGUACCUUUCAGAGCUGACUGGCAAAGAAACUCCUGAGGUGAUGG
rnacentral:antisense_RNA from 1 species